CCCUUAGAUGUUAUGGGCCGCACGCGUGCUACACUGAGUGGAUCAGCGGGUCAGGUUGCGCGAAAGCGUUUCCUAAUCUUUAAAUCCGCUCGUGAUGGGGAUUGACGGUUGCAAUUUUCUGUCAUGAACGAGGAAUACCUUGUAAGCGCGGGUCAUCAUCCCGCGCUGAAUACGUCCCUGCCCUUUGUACACACCGCCCGUCGCUCCUACCGAUUGAGUGGUCCGGUGAGGCUUUGGGAUCUGAGCGGAAAGAGCGUUUCGCUGUUUCUGCUCGGAAAACUCAGUCGAACCUUAUCAUUUAGAGGAAGGAGAAGUCGUAACA
rnacentral:rRNA from 1 species